rnacentral:rRNA from 1 species
CUACGGGGUGCACCAGUGGGGAAUAUUGCACAAUGGGCGCAAGCCUGAUGCAGCCAUGCCGCGUGUAUGAAGAAGGCCUUCGGGUUGUAAAGUACUUUCAGCGGGGAGGAAGGGAGUAAAGUUAAUACCUUUGCUCAUUGACGUUACCCGCAGAAGAAGCACCGGCUAACUCCGUGCCAGCAGCCGCGGUAAUACGGAGGGUGCAAGCGUUAAUCGGAAUUACUGGGCGUAAAGCGCACGCAGGCGGUGUGUUAAGUCAGGUGUGAAAUCCCCGGGCUCAACCUGGGAACUGCAUCUGAUACUGGCAAGCUUGAGUCUCGUAGAGGGGGGUAGAAUUCCAGGUGUAGCGGUGAAAUGCGUAGAGAUCUGGAGGAAUACCGGUGGCGAAGGCGGCCCCCUGGACGAAGACUGACGCUCAGGUGCGAAAGCGUGGGGAGCAAACAGGAUUAGAUACCCCCGUAGUC